rnacentral:rRNA from 1 species
CAAGUCAAGGGGGCCCAGCAAUGGGCAACCGGCGAACGGGUGCGUAACACGUGAGCAACCUACCGAACUGUGGGGGAUAGCCGGCCUAACGGCCGAGUAAUACCGCAUACGCUUUCUAAAAGGCAUUUUUUGGAAAGGAAACCUACGGGACAGAUCGAGGGGCUCGCGGCCUAUCAGCUAGUUGGCGAGGUAAUGGCUCACCAAGGCUACGACGGGUAGCUGGUCUGAGAGGAUGGCCAGCCACAUUGGGACUGAGAUACGGCCCAGACUCCUACGGGAGGCAGCAGUGGGGAAUCUUGCGCAAUGGCCUAACGGCUGACGCAGCGACGCCGCGUGUGGGAUGAAGCUCCUCGGAGCGUAAACCACUGUUGCCCGGGACGAAUAGCUCGAUUGGUCGAGCCUGACGGUACCGGGUGAGGAAGCACCGGCUAACUCCGUGCCAGCAGCCGCGGUAAUACGGGGGGUGCGAGCGUUGUCCGGAAUCACUGGGCGUAAAGGGCGCGUAGGUGGUUUGAUAAGGGUGUGGUGAAAGCCCGGGGCUCAACCCCGGGUCUGCCGUGCCGACUGUCAAACUCGAGGGCUGUAGAGGCAGACGGAAUUCCGGGUGUAGCGGUGGAAUGCGUAGAGAUCCGGAGGAAGACCGGUGGCGAAGGCGGUCUGCUGGGCAGUUUCUGACACUGAUGCGCGACAGCGUGGGGAGCAAACAGGAUUAGAUACCCUGGUAGUCCACGCCGUAAACGAUGGGUACUAGGUGCCUGGGGGA